rnacentral:rRNA from 1 species
CGAGAAGCUUCCGCAAUGGGCGAAAGCCUGACGGAGCGACGCCGCGUGAGUGAAGAAGGCCCUAUGGGUUGUAAAAACUCUGUCAGAUUGGGAAAGAAAAUUCCACGGUUAACACCCGUGAAACUUGACGGUA